rnacentral:rRNA from 1 species
CGCCCGCCGCGCGCGGCGGGCGGGGCGGGGGCACGGGGGGCCUACGGGAGGCAGCAGUAGGGAAUCUUCCMCAAUGGGCGCAAGCCUGAUGGAGCAACGCCGCGUGAGUGAGGAAGGCUUUCGGGUCGUAAAGCUCUGUUGCCAGGGAAGAAUAAGGGCGAGGUCACUACUCGUCCGAUGACGUACCUGAGAGAAAGACCGWCCGC